rnacentral:rRNA from 1 species
GAUGAACGCUGGCGGCGUGCUUAACACAUGCAAGUCGAACGGCAAGGCUCUGCGUUUGUGGGCUGCCCGAGUGGCUAACGUGUGAGUACCACCUGAGUAACCUCCCCUUGCCUUUGGGCUCCCUUCAGGAAACUGGGGCUAAUACCGGAUCGGUGCUCCUGCUGCAUGGUGCGGCAUCGCAAGUUUCGGCGGUUGGGUAUGGACUCGCGGCGUAUCAGCUUGCUGGCGGGGUAGGGGCUUACCAAGGCUAUGACCGGUAGCCCGCCUGAGAGGAGCGCCGGCCAGGGUGGGACGGAGAUGCGGCACGGACUCCAACGGGAGGGAGCGGUGGGGAAUAGUGCACAAUGGGCGGAGGCCUGAUGCAGCAACGCCGCGUGGGGGGUGAGGGGCAGCGGGUUGGAAACCGCUGUCGUCUGUGACGAAGAGUGAGUGACGGUAAUGGGGAAAGAAGCACCGGCUAACUACGUG